rnacentral:rRNA from 1 species
UACGGGAGGCAGCAGGGGGGAAUAUUGCACAAUGGGCGCAAGCCUGAUGCAGCCAUGCCGCGUGUAUGAAGAAGGCCUUCGGGUUGUAAAGUACUUUCAGUCGUGAGGAAGGUGUUAAGGUUAAUAACCUUAGCAAUUGACGUUAGCGACAGAAGAAGCACCGGCUAACUCCGUGCCAGCAGCCGCGGUAAUACGGAGGGUGCGAGCGUUAAUCGGAAUUACUGGGCGUAAAGGGCACGCAGGCGGUUAAUUAAGUUGGAUGUGAAAUCCCCGGGCUUAACCUGGGAAUGGCAUUCAAGACUGGUUAGCUAGAGUCUUGUAGAGGGGGUAGAAUUCCAUGUGUAGCGGUGAAAUGCGUAGAGAUGUGGAGGAAUACCGGUGGCGAAGGCGGCCCCUGGACAAAGACUGACGCCCAUGUGCGAAAGCGUGGGGAGCAAACAGGGAUUAGAUACCCGU